rnacentral:lncRNA from 1 species
CUCCACUUGGCGCCCCUUCCCUUUCCUUGAGUAGCAAAACCCACUGACUGUGAACUUCUUCAGGCCAGGACUUUUCCUUGUUCUGGCAUCCCCAGAACCAAGCACGAUGCCAGCUUCCGGCUGCUGCUUUUAGUAUUUGUUAAAGGAAUGAACAGCUCUUCUCAAAGCUCCCAAUCAUACCUCGAUGUAGAGGACUGAAAACAGCUGAGAGCUUUGCCUCUUCUCCUGGGACAUCAGUAUUUUAAAAACAGAUCAAAGCGACAUGGAAGAAGUUCAAUUACAUUGAAUGGUAGAGUUCCAGACAGCAUUUGAUCCUUUCCUUUGAGCAAAGGACCUUCUCUAUCCCUAAAACCAAAUCACAGAAGCCUGUGGCCUGUCAGGGCUGCUGGAAAUGGUGGUUUCAGACUCUUGCUUGGGAGCAUGACACUGAAAACAGAAAUAGCUUCCAGAAGACUUCAGAUAAGUUCAUGGAUAAUAGAGCCAAAAAUGAUCACUAAAAGGGAAGUCAGAAAGAUUCAGAGCUCCAUCUUUAGACAGGUAAAAUCUGAUUGAACAACAGCAGCUGCCUUCAUCAAGGGAGCCUGGAGAGCAAACAGCGGAAAAACAGUCAUCUGGCAACAUGUUGCAGGAAAAAGACAUUACAAAAGAAUAACAAGCUUGAGAGAGACAGGGCGGAACGCCUCUCCCCGCCUAGCUGGGCCCUGUGGGCUCCCCUCCGCAACCCUAAGGCGGGAGGCCGAGGGCAGCGGGGAGUCGCGCUUCACCUUCGCCCCUCAUUUGACCCAUGGACUCAUUAAUGGAAGAACCGAGGCAAGCAAGUUCACGGGAAGAAAUGCGCCCUCCCAACUGGAGGCCACCAGCUGCCCACUCGGGAACACCUCAGGGUGCCAACUGCAUCUCUGCGGGGUCGCCAGCCAUUUCUAGGACAUAUGUUUGUCCUUGUGGUAUUUGGGCUGGAGGACUCCAACAGAGAUCAAGUGUGGAGAGCAGUUCCACAGUCUCAAAAGAAAACCGCGGAAGUCUUGCUCUCAUAGAAGUCAUGACAGCAGUCCUAUGACAGCAGUCCUUUGAAGAAGCCCAUACAUAACAAAUGUAUUUGUGGCAUUAACAAAAAAGGACCACAACAGUCUUCUACUGAGGCGUGGCAGUGGGAUUUCAGCAGCAAUUUCCGCCUAUACGCCAACUCUCACACAUGGAGAUAUGUUGCCCUAUUUUCUUCUCUAAUUGCCUUACAUAUGUAUAUUGCUUUAUUUCCCAACCUGAGAGUGUUAGAUCCUCAAGAAGAAAAACUGUAUCUCCCAUUUUCCCGGUAUGUCAAUUUCACUCAGAACAAUUUGAUGCACACAGUUGGGAUUUAAUCCAUAUUUGCCAGUGAGAUCUUAGAGUAUCAAGAAAAACGAUUCCCUCAAUUCCGUGAAUUUCUCUGAGGUUUGCAUGGAUACACUUCCAUUGUUGACAUUCAAUGCAUGUGAAAUAGGCAUCAGAGCUUUUUA